AUGACUUUGAUCUGCGUCCUCAUCUGGACUCUCCUCUGCUGCUGCUUCACAGAGUCCAGAGGUCAGGUCACAGUGACUCAGCCUGCAGCAGUGACAGCUGAUCUGGGAGGAUCUGCCAGGAUCCCCUGUAGGACCAGUCAGGAUGUUCGUGUUUACAACAGCAACCACCGUCUAGCCUGGUAUCAACAGAAAGAUGGACAAACUCCUAAGCUGCUCAUUUAUUAUGCCAGCACUCGAGCAUCAGGGACUCCAAGUCGUUUUACAGGCAGUGGAUCAAACUCUGACUUCACUCUGACCAUCAGUGGAGUUCAGGCUGAAGAUGCUGCAGUUUAUUACUGUCAGAGUCUUCAUAAGAUCAACAGCCAGUGGGUGUUCACACAGUGA